rnacentral:rRNA from 1 species
CAGGGGGUGCAAGCGUUGCUCGGAAUCACUGGGCGUAAAGCGUACGCAGGCGGACCGUUAAGUCGGGUGUGAAAGCCCGGGGCUCAACCCCGGAACUGCAUUCGAUACUGGCGGUCUUGAAUACGGGAGAGGUGAGUGGAAUUCCUGGUGUAGAGGUGAAAUUCGUAGAUAUCAGGAGGAACACCGGUGGCGAAAGCGGCUCACUGGCCCGAUAUUGACGCUCAUGUACGAAAGCGUGGUGAGCAAACAGGAUUAGAUACCCUGGUAGUCCACGCUGUAAACGAUGAGUGCUAGCUGCUGGAGAUCCUUUUAUUUCUUCGGUGGCGUAGCCAACGCGUUAAGCACUCCGCCUGGGAAGUACGGCCGCAAGGCUA